CAAUAGCGUAUAUUUAAGUUGUUGCAGUUAAAAAGCUCGUAGUUGGAUUUCGGGUGGGACGCAGCGGUCUCGCAUUGCGUUUGUACUGCUGCAGCCCUCCUUCUUGCCGGGGGCGGCCUCUCGGACUUCACUGUCUGGGGGUCAGAAUCGGCGAUGUUACUUUGAGUAAAUUAGAGUGUUCAAAGCAAGCUUACGCUCUGAAUAUAAUAGCAUGGGAUAACACGACAGGACUCUGGCCUAUCGUGUUGGGCUAUAGGACCAGAGUAAUGAUUAAGAGGGACAGUCGGGGGCAUUCGUAUUCCGUUGUCAGAGGUGAAAUUCUUGGAUUUACGGAAGACGAACAUCUGCGAAAGCAUUUGCCAAGGAUGUUUUCAUUGA
rnacentral:rRNA from 1 species